rnacentral:rRNA from 1 species
GAGUUUUAGGAUACUUAGAGUUAAGCAUCUUUGGGUUUAAAUAGUACUGGGCUGGGUGACCUCCCGGGAAGUCUAAAUUCAAGAGCUUA